rnacentral:rRNA from 1 species
AAUAUUAGACAAUGGGGGCAACCCUGAUCCAGCCAUGCCGCGUGUGUGAAGACGGACUUCGGAUUGUCAAGCACUGUAAGCUGGGAGGCGGGGCUUCAGGCUAAUACCCUGAAGUUUUGACGUUACCCACAGAGUAAGCACCGGUUAACCCUGUGCACGCAGCCGCGGUAAUACAGAGGGUGCAAGCGUUAAUCGGAAUUCCUGGGCGUAAAGCGCGCGUAGGUGGUUCAGUAAGAUGGGUGUGAAAUCCCCGGGCUUAACCUGGGAACUGCUUUCAUAACUGCUGAGCUAGAGUACGGUAGAGGGUAGUGGAAUUUCCUGAGUAGCGGUGAAAUGCGUAGAUAUAGGAAGGAACACCAGUGGCGAAGGCGACUACCUGGACUGAUACUGACACUGAGGUGCGAAAGCGUGGGGAGCAAACA